rnacentral:rRNA from 1 species
UCCCUACGGGACGCAGCAGUGAGGAAUAUUGGUCAAUGGGCUUACGCCUGAACCAGCCAAGUCGCGUGAGGGAAGACUGCCCUAUGGGUUGUAAACUUCUUUUGUCAGGGAGCAAUUGGCGCUACGUGUAGCGUUAUCGAGAGUACCUGAAGAAAAAGCAUCGGCUAAAUCCGUGUCAGCAGACGCGGUAAUACGGAGGAUGCGAGCGUUAUCCGGAUUUAUUGGGUGUAAAGGGUGCGUAGGCGGAGUGCCAAGU